rnacentral:lncRNA from 1 species
GUCCUCCCUGCCCGCUCCCUCGGAUGGCGUGGAAUCGUGGGCUUGCGGAUCAAAGGUGGGCAUCUGCGGGAAGGCAGCCAGGCAGGAUGGAAGUCAGCGCUCCUUCACGGGGCCGUGAGAAACCCCUCAAAACUCCCCAGGAAGAGGCCGUGCAGGGGGAGAGAGGCCUUAUGGCCGAUGGCAGACUUGUUGAAGCCUUUCCUUGUUGAAGAGCAUUAAAACAAGCCAUUCAAUUUUAUGUUUCUUACUGGAGUCCCAAUCUACUGCUAUAGUGAUGAGUAUCUUCAUCUUACAGAGAAGAUCAUUAAGGGGCUCUGCAAAACAUUGGUGCUUACUCACAAUUUCCUCUGUCCGCAUCACCCCCAACUUCAGGCAAAGUAGAAAGGAUGGAUGAAAUUUUCAGAAACGCUCGAAUUUCCCUGGCCUCAAAUCCUGCCCUGGCCAUACUGACAAGAAGAUCAAUUCCUUUGAGAACAUGUCAGUUCUCUAUUCAUGAUGGUAACAGGCCUACCCCGGCACUAGGACUUCACCUCUAAUCGUAGACUCUGCCCUAUUAGAAGCAGUAGUAAGCACAUACUGAAGGGAUCCAUCCAACCUGUCAGUUUUAUGAUUAAUAUCCUCCUAAUCCAUCCUUGUACAACCUACAACUUGGUUUUCUAGAAGAGACAUCACAGAGAGGCAGCCCAUGGAACAUGAUGGAAAAACACUUCUCUGCUAUUGCUGACACCUAGUAAAGCAGUAAAACUUCAGGAGUUUGAUUUUUGGAUCUAUGCUUCCCAAUUAAAGGAACACAAAUCAUCCCUGGCAUCUGGAAAGCCAUCCCAAAGAGAAAUUUCCCAGUGAAGACUCUUAAGAAUCCUCCAGAAACAGAAGAUCUUCAGGAGACUCUAGUCUGAGGCCUUCAAAGUAGAAGACAGCAUGGUAUAGACAGUUUAUUCUUCCACGUCUUCGGAGGAAGGCCAUCCAGAUAUCUCUGGAGCCACAGGUGAACAUACUCUCCUUUGUCCAGAACUCUUACUUUAAUUUUUGCCUAUUUCUUUCCACUUGGCAGUUUUGCAGUCAUGGUUCACUGAGAGCAUAGCAGCUGCUCCAUAACGUAGGUCUUAUUGAGGAGACGUCUUCGGUCACUGUCCUGUUUUGUGUUGUUUUUCUUCCCGAAGGAGAUGUCAGGGGGUUCUCCACCUCUGUCAAUUGGCACCUACACCUUCA